GACGAACGCUGGCGGCGUGCUUAACACAUGCAAGUCGAACGGUGAAGCACCUUCCUUUUGGUGGGUGUGGUUGAGUGGCGAACGGGUGAGUAACACGUGAGUAACCUGCCCCCUUCUUCUGGAUAACCGCAUGAAAGUGUGGCUAAUACGGGAUAUUCUGGGUCUGUCGCAUGGCGGGCCUGGGGAAGGUAUUGUUUCGGUGGGGGGUGGGCUCGCGGUUUAUCAGGUUGGUGGUGGGGUGAUGGCCUACCAAGGCGGUGACGGGUAGCCGGCCUGGGAGGGUGGACGGUCACACUGGGACGGAGAGACGGAGCAGACUCCGACGGGAGGCAGCAGUGGGUAAUAUGGCACAAUGGGCGCAAGGCUGAUGCAGCGACGCGGCGGGAGGGAUGGAGUCCUUCGGGUUGUAAACCGCUUUCGCCAGUGAAGCAGGCCUGUCCCUUUUGUGGGUGGGUUGACGGUAGCUGGAUAAGAAGCGCCGGCUAACUACGUG
rnacentral:rRNA from 1 species